AUCACUUCUCGGCCUUUUGGCUAAGAUCAAGUGUAAAACAAUAUAAUUGUGUCUUAUCAGUU
rnacentral:snRNA from 1 species